UGCAAGUCGAGCGGAUGAGGGUAGCUUGCUAUCUGAUUCAGCGGCGGACGGGUGAGUAAUGCCUAGGAAUCUGCCUGGUAGUGGGGGACAACGUUUCGAAAGGAACGCUAAUACCGCAUACGUCCUACGGGAGAAAGUGGGGGAUCUUCGGACCUCACGCUAUCAGAUGAGCCUAGGUCGGAUUAGCUAGUAGGUGGGGUAAUGGCUCACCUAGGCGACGAUCCGUAACUGGUCUGAGAGGAUGAUCAGUCACACUGGAACUGAGACACGGUCCAGACUCCUACGGGAGGCAGCAGUGGGGAAUAUUGGACAAUGGGCGAAAGCCUGAUCCAGCCAUGCCGCGUGUGUGAAGAAGGUCUUCGGAUUGUAAAGCACUUUAAGUUGGGAGGAAGGGUUGUAGCCUAAUACGUUGCAAUUUUGACGUUACCGACAGAAUAAGCACCGGCUAACUUCGUGCCAGCAGCCGCGGUAAUACGAAGGGUGCAAGCGUUAAUCGGAAUUACUGGGCGUAAAGCGCGCGUAGGUGGUUCAUUAAGUUGGAUGUGAAAGCCCUGGGCUCAACCUGGGAACUGCAUCCAAAACUGGUGAGCUAGAGUACGGUAGAGGGUAGUGGAAUUUCCUGUGUAGCGGUGAAAUGCGUAGAUAUAGGAAGGAACACCAGUGGCGAAGGCGACUACCUGGA
rnacentral:rRNA from 1 species